UUUUAAGAGAGAAGGACUGGCUGCUUGGGAGAAAAGAGUACCUGGAGCGGAGCAGGGCCCAAGGAGCUGGGGAGCUCCAGCCUGGAAAAUCCCCAGGCUGCAGGCCUUACUAAAGGCCAGGAAAGGGACAAAGGCAGUAUAACCAUCAGCUGAGGAAAAAUUACAACUCCACCACAUAUGUAGUAGCAGAUCACCUAUUUAUCAGCUGAAACUGCUAAUAAGCAACCCAUGAAGAUGCUGAGCCAAUGACAGGAUAACAGCCAAGCCUGAAAAAGGUGUGUGUUUUCCUUCUUGUAUGAGGUUAUAAAACCAUCUAGAUUGAACAACCAAUGCACUCAGAUCUUCAUCCACUCAUCACAGCCACACAUCUUUGCUCAGCCUGUCUCUAGAAGCAAGGCUACUAAGAAGAUAGUCACAAAGCGCCAUCAAGAAGCAGCAACCUUUCAUUUCAGAGGACACCACCACCAAAACUUCAAUAUGAAUUGAAAAUCAGGAAAAGCUGAUACCAGCUGAAGAGCAACCCAAAAUACCAUGACCAUCAACUGGCGGGACUGUGUGUGUGUGAGA